GUCAGCAUGGCCGAGCGGUCCAAGGCGCUGCGUUAAGGUCGCAGUCUCCCCUGGAGGAGUGGGUUAAAAUCCCACUUCUGACA